GCCCGGUGGUGUCCCCGGUGUGCUCGGGCUCCUCGAAGGAGACCUUCACGUGCGACUGCGCGGCGAGGUUGUAGACCUCGUCCGGGCG
rnacentral:tRNA from 1 species